rnacentral:rRNA from 1 species
GAUGAACGCUGGCGGCGUGCCUAAUACAUGCCAGUCGAGCGAACGGACGAGAAGCUUGCUUCUCUGAUGUUAGCGGCGGACGGGUGAGUAACACGUGGAUAACCUACCUAUAAGACUGGGAUAACUUCGGGAAACCGGAUCUAAUACCGGAUGAUAUUUUGAACCGCAUGGUUCAAAAGUGAAAGACGGUCUUUCUGUCUCUUAUAGAUGGAUCCGCGCUGCAUUAGCUAGUUGUUAAGGUAACGGCUUACCAAGGCAACGAUGCAUAGCCGACCUGAGAGGGUGAUAGGCCACAUGGGAACGGAGACACGGUCCAGACUACUACGGGAGGCAGCAGUAGGGAAUCUUCCGCAAUGGGCGAAAGCCUGACGGAGCAACGCCGCGUGAGUGAUGAAGGUCUUCGGAUCGUAAAACUCUGUUAUUAGGGAAGAACAGAUGUGUAAGUAACUGUGCACAUCGUGACGGUACCUAAUCAGAAAGCCACGGCUAACUACGUG